AUCGGUACUUGAGUACCGAUAUAAAUGUGCAGUGAGCCAUUACAACGGCAGCUGCAUAAAUCCUGUAUGGGCCGAUCCACACAAAACGGUAGGCGCCAAAUUUAUUACAAGGAG
rnacentral:ncRNA from 1 species